rnacentral:rRNA from 1 species
AAGACCUUGCACUUUUGGAGCGGCCGAUGUCUGAUUAGCUAGUUGGUGGGGUAAUGGCCUACCAAGGCUUCGACCAGUAGCUGGUCUGAGAGGACGGCCAGCCACACUGGGACUGAGACACGGCCCAGACUCCUACGGGAGGCAGCAGUGGGGAAUUUUGGACAAUGGGCGCAAGCCUGAUCCAGCCAUGCCGCGUGAGUGAAGAAGGCCUUCGGGUUGUAAAGCUCUUUCAGCCGGGAAGAAAAGGUUGCGACUAAUAAUCGCAAUCCAUGACGGUACCGAAAGAAGAAGCACCGGCUAACUACGUGCCAGCAGCCGCGGUAAUACGUAGGGUGCGAGCGUUAAUCGGAAUUACUGGGCGUAAAGGGUGCGCAGGCGGUUUUGUAAGUCAGAUGUGAAAUCCCCGGGCUUAACCUGGGAACU